rnacentral:rRNA from 1 species
GACGAACGCUGUCGGCGUGCUUAACACAUGCAAGUCGAACGGAAAGGCCCUGCUUUUGUGGGGUGCUCGAGCGGCGAACGGGUGAGUAACACGUGAGUAACCUGCCCUUGACUUUGGGAUAACUUCAGGAAACUGGGGCUAAUACCGGAUAGGAGCUCCUGCUGCAUGGUGGGGGUUGGAAAGUUUCGGCGGUUGGGGAUGGACUCGCGGCUUAUCAGCUUGUUGGUGGGGUAGUGGCUUACCAAGGCUUUGACGGGUAGCCGGCCUGAGAGGGUGACCGGCCACAUUGGGACUGAGAUACGGCCCAGACUCCUACGGGAGGCAGCAGUGGGGAAUAUUGCACAAUGGGCGGAAGCCUGAUGCAGCAACGCCGCGUGCGGGAUGACGGCCUUCGGGUUGUAAACCGCUUUCGCCUGUGACGAAGCGUGAGUGACGGUAAUGGGUAAAGAAGCACCGGCUAACUACGUGCCAGCAGCCGCGGUGAUACGUAGGGUGCGAGCGUUGUCCGGAUUUAUUGGGCGUAAAGGGCUCGUAGGUGGUUGAUCGCGUCGGAAGUGUAAUCUUGGGGCUUAACCCUGAGCGUGCUUUCGAUACGGGUUGACUUGAGGAAGGUAGGGGAGAAUGGAAUUCCUGGUGGAGCGGUGGAAUGCGCAGAUAUCAGGAGGAACACCAGUGGCGAAGGCGGUUCUCUGGGCCUUUCCUGACGCUGAGGAGCGAAAGCGUGGGGAGCGAACAGGCUUAGAUACCCUGGUAGUCCACGCUGUAAACGGUGGGUACUAGGUGUGGGGUCCAUUCCACGGGUUCCGUGCCGUAGCUAACGCUUUAAGUACCCCGCCUGGGGAGUACGGCCGCAAGGCUAAAACUCAAAGGAAUUGACGGGGCCCCGCACAAGCGGCGGAGCAUGCGGAUUAAUUCGAUGCAACGCGUAGAACCUUACCUGGGUUUGACAUGGAUCGGGAGUGCUCAGAGAUGGGUGUGCCUCUUUUGGGGUCGGUUCACAGGUGGUGCAUGGCUGUCGUCAGCUCGUGUCGUGAGAUGUUGGGUUAAGUCCCGCAACGAGCGCAACCCUUGUUCACUGUUGCCAGCACGUUAUGGUGGGGACUCAGUGGAGACCGCCGGGGUCAACUCGGAGGAAGGUGGGGAUGACGUCAAGUCAUCAUGCCCCUUAUGUCCAGGGCUUCACGCAUGCUACAAUGGCUGGUACAGAGAGUGGCGAGCCUGUGAGGGUGAGCGAAUCUCGGAAAGCCGGUCUCAGUUCGGAUUGGGGUCUGCAACUCGACCUCAUGAAGUCGGAGUCGCUAGUAAUCGCAGAUCAGCAACGCUGCGGUGAAUACGUUCCCGGG